UCCGGGGUGUGGAAUCGGUAGACACCCCGGACUCAAAAUCCGGUGUUCCCCGGGCGUGCGAGUUCGAGCCCCGCUCUCGGCACCC
rnacentral:tRNA from 1 species